rnacentral:lncRNA from 1 species
GGGAUUUUCUGGUUUCUUUUAAGAGUUUCCUGCCUUAGUGCUAGUUAGUUCUCUAUCAUAAAUCUGUUCUUUAUAUGCAGUCUCUCUUACAUUUCAGUUUGCAAAAAACAUAUUUUCUUUUUUCCAUUUGUAAUCUAGUCUGGCCUGGAUCAUUUCUAGUUUGGACAAUUUCCAGGUGAAGAUUAUGGUGGUAGUUUUCUCCUGAGACUUAAAAGCAAUUUGGUGUCAUGUGGAUUAGUUACUAGUCAGAGCACAUGCUGUCCAAUGACAGGCUGCUGUCAGUCACUGCUGGACCAGUGUGAUUGGUAUUUCUCCAUCUCAUGUAAUGCUUAUGCUGGUAGUACUCUGUCAGAACCUGUUUUGUUGAAACAGAUCUCACGACAGGAAGAGGAGUUGAUAUCUGACUGGAAAAGGAUAUAUCUUGCACUUCAAUAUCCCAUUAGAGACCCAAAUAUUAUUUAUUUUAUAUUUAUAGGUAUCCCUUAUAUCAGCGUUUCUCAACCGCUGGUCCGGCGGACCGCCACCGGUCCGCGGAGAAAUUUGACCAGUCCGCG